UGUUGUCCCUGCCUGCUGUGUGCAA
rnacentral:piRNA from 2 species